rnacentral:lncRNA from 1 species
AGCUACAUUUGAAUCCUUGGUUUGUAGUUCCUAUUCUUCUGUCGAGGUUUUCCCACAGGGUAUUCUUCAUGUGCCCUACUAAUGUUGCUUAUUUCCUCCAAAUUGUGUAGGUCAUCGGCCAAUUGAAGGUCUCAGUUCAUCUUUAUGGAAGUGCUAGGGUCUUCUGGUAUGAUAGAUCCUACCUUUUGUCUUAUCAUCUCCUCAAGUUAUUAAUGAGUUUGCCAUUAGGCCAAUAAAACAUCUUGGAUGUUCCAAAAUAGCUCUUAUUUUUCUUCUCUUUUCUUCAGACUAGGUACUCUCUGUAAGAUGCUUUUUACUAUAAUUGUUGAUGGUAUAUCAUGGGUACUAAAGUUAUAUGAUUAUGAGAGUUUUUUCCAAUUUAGUUAUAUAAAUAUCACGUGUAGAUCACUGUAAAUUCUGAGAGCUGGCAGCACAGCUGUAUGGUUGUAUCUAUUUUGAUGGUUUCAACAACAACUAUUGGUUAUCAGAGUUUGUGAAGGUUGGCAACUUCUAAAUGGUCGCUGAGUUUCUAUAUUCCCAACUUGAUUCAAAGAUAUAGGUAGAAAGUGAUGUUCGUCAGGAUAUAAAAGAUCUUGCCUACUUCAUGCAUAGAUGCUUAGAUUAUAUUUUUACCUGAAAUUUAUUAGUAUCAAUAACUACAAAAUCUAGAUUUUAACAAAACUACAUGGGUAACUUUUAAUUAUGAUCUUAUCAUCUACUAUGUCCUAUCAGGUUUUAAAAGCUGGGCACUUCUAACUGUUUAGUAGGCUUGAUCUUAAGGAAAAAGAAUUGUUCUAUUCUUAUUCCUAUCCCAGCUUCUAUGUGCAUGCCUUCUGGUCGUGUGACUGUGUGAGUGGCAGUGCUUCAGUAGUUCAGUCAUGGUAUUGGCUACUCUAAUAAAUUACACAGUGCUCUAGGUCAUUUGUUAGGAUGCUAAACCAUGCACAGCUAGCAUCUAAACUUGAACUUGAACUUGAAUCUUAGUGUUAGUUUUUUCUUAUAUGUCAAAGGUCUCUUCUUAUAAAUUUUAUUGGUUUGAAACACAAAUGCUUCGGUGUAGGUUUUUUUAGCAUUUAAUAAUACCUUAUGACUAGACUUUUGGAUUAUUGGUUGAUACAUGUAUUGUUAAUUUGCUGCAAUGCUUCAAAAAUAUUCUGUAGCUGCAUUGAAAGGCUUACGAGAGUAUGUUAGUCUCCUUUAGAUUUUGCACCUUGUGAUUAUAGGCUGCUAUAGUUCAAAUACUUUGUCUCUAAUUGCCUUGGCGUGCUAGCUUUGUGUGGCUAUUCACAUUCAUGGAGGUCUGUGUGUAUAGGGUGUCGAGGAGCACCUUUUACUUGCUAUCUUCAGGUCUUGUUGUUAGAGCACCGAUCCACACACACAGAGGAAGACACAGGUAUUGUGGGCUGCUAUGUAAUCAGCUAUAUAUAGUGAACUAUUGUGUGAGCCAGUUGUGUCAUGUAGGCUAACUAGAUUGAAACCAGUAACUAAUUGAUGUGCCUUGUCAUUGUUGCCACGCUGCAUCUUGCGCAUCAUUUUUCAAAACUUGGACCUACUUUAAGCAGUGCUUGUGUUCUUAUAGAAAUAAGGUCAUGGGCAUUUUUAGCCAGAGUUUUGCUUAUCCAUUUUUAUGGACUUUGCAGAUAUGCAUACACUCUUUUCAUGUAUGCGGCAAUUUUGGAAAGGGUUCAUACUAUCUGAAUUGAGAGUGAGUCGUUCAUCUGAAAGGGUAAAAGUUUGCCUCAAUAUUAAUAUUUACACAUUUAGCUGCUCUUAUAAUCUCUAUUUAAUUUUAUCAAAUUUACUUCCAUGGUUCCAUCUAUUGCGCUACAGAUACAUGAAAGCUAAUGCUUAUGUAUUUUUUUGUGCUCCUAACCUGGAAGUAGUUGUCCCUUCUCCAAUUAGUGAUAUUCUUUGUUCUAAUUAUAUCGUCCUUACCCAUGUUACAAUGGAGAAAAUAUGGUGGUACAUUGGUUGUGCAAAGUGCAAGAAAGCUCCGAUGGAAGAAACAGCCACAUUUUGAUGUGAUCCAUGCAAAUGCUCCAAAACCAUGGCAAUGUAAAGACUAUACUUCCACGCAGUUGUGUCAUGUGUUGCUUUAGUUAUACCGAGACUUAUCCCUCAUAACCUUUUCUGCCCUCAAUAUUCCCUCCAUCAACAGGUACAAAUUCUCAUUCAAGGCUACAAACGACAAUAGGUACAAGACCGAUGGAUCCAGACUCCAGCCAAAACCUAAAGCUCAAAGGUUUACUUCAACAAAGAAAAUAAAAUAAGUAAAAAAAAAGCUCACACCCAUAUUACUGGUAUCCUUUCGUUACUAAAUAAACAAAAAUACAUGUAUACAUACAUAUAUAUGUGCCUGGAACCUACAUAAAAUGUCCAGUUUUAGAGUAGACAAUAUAUUAAACACUCAAAUUUGACAUGUUACUGAUCCACUUCAUAUACAUACAUUAUUUGUGAGCCAUAUUUGUAGUUAGUCACCUUCAAUCUAAUUUGUGUACACUAUUUUUACAACCUCGGAUAUGUUUAACUCCUAAUAAUAUUGUUUCAUAAUACCUCUUAAAUGCGUCUUGUCAACAAUACUCCAAAAUCUUCCGUGAAUUUAUAUGUUACAAAAUCCCUUGAAUAAUUUCUUCUUCUUUUUUAUCGCAGGGUGCACCAUCAUCUUAAAAACAUGGGUCAUCUUCUUUUGCAAAAUGACAAGGGUCAUGCCUCAAGAACUUGGUGGCUUUUAAUUGGCAGUAGCUACUCAUGAACUAAUGUUUGUAGAAUAUUGCCUCUGUUAUUUUCUCAAGUGGAACUGCUAGAACUUUGGACAUCAACUCACCUUAUGCUAACCUUACAUAACAAAUUUAUCUAAGCCUGUUAAAACUCUGUCGCCAUAAUGCAGUGGCACCUCCUAUCGUCGUUUAUAGUGUACCAAAAAUUUAUUACAAACCUUAUUAUUCUAUACAUAUUUAUCAACUUCUAAUACUUUCUAUCUACUUAUCUACUUUGUUAGUAAAAAAACGUAGUACUUUAUGCUCGCAAAAAAAAACUUAUUAUUGUCAUAUACUGAUUCAAUUACUUGUGCUAUACUACCAAAUACAGAUGCCCUCACCCCAACACAAAUCACCACCAGCUUCCACACCAAGCAACCAGCUACACAGGUAACAAACAUUUUUUUCCCUUCCUGCAUAGGAAAAAAUCAAACUUACAGAGUGACUGUGUCUUUUCAGAAUAGCAAGAUUGAAACUAACAUUGUUUUUCCUAUUCACUAACCAGGUCACGGUAAUGAAACUACUUCGGAACUUAGAGGUACAUGCUCCGUCAUAAAUUCAGCACACGUUUACUAUUAUCAAUACACCGACACUUAUCCUGCGUAUAUGUUUCUACAGAAUCGUCAAACCAUAAUUCAGAUUAUGAUGGUACGUACAUACUACUUCCAAUAAACAAACUGCUUUUCUAUAUUUUCCUACUAUAUCCAUGAACAUCCAACACUGUUAACAUCCAACUGAUACAACAUGUUUAUAACUAUACAAACACUUUUACAGUGACACCAAGGCGAAAUUUAGAUGACUACGAACCAGGUUGGGAAUCAGACCGUAGUUACUGGAAAGCAGACUAGACAAUCUUACCUUCGGUACCAUGUGAACGGAAAAAAAAUAUGUUAUGCUGACCUUUUGUAACAGCAAUAUCACGCAGUGAACUAGCCUAUCCCGGACAGUGUGAUCUCUCCACUUAUAUCUUAUUCUGAUGUAUUAAACUUUGAAUUAUCUCUACAAUUAUAUAUCCCCUUCUACUAUCCAACACAUAUAUUUGUAAAGUCCAUUCUUAUUAAUCCUAACCUAUAUCUAGACA